rnacentral:rRNA from 1 species
UACGUAGGGUGCAAGCGUUGUCCGGAAUUAUUGGGCGUAAAGAGCUUGUAGGCGGUUUGUCGCGUCUGCUGUGAAAUUUCGGGGCUCAACCCCGAACUUGCAGUGGGUACGGGCAGACUAGAGUGUGGUAGGGGAGACUGGAAUUCCUGGUGUAGCGGUGAAAUGCGCAGAUAUCAGGAAGAACACCCGUGGCGAAAGCGGCUCUCUGGAACGGUACUGACGCUGAGACGCGAAAGCGUGGGGAGCAAACAGG